rnacentral:rRNA from 1 species
UACGUAGGGUGCAAGCGUUAUCCGGAAUUAUUGGGCGUAAAGAGCUCGUAGGCGGUUUGUCGCGUCUGCUGUGAAAACUGGAGGCUCAACCUCCAGCCUGCAGUGGGUACGGGCAAACUAGAGUGCGGUAGGGGAGAUUGGAAUUCCUGGUGUAGCGGUGGAAUGCGCAGAUAUCGGGAGGAACACCAGUGGCGAAGGCGGUUGCCUGGGGCUUUGCUGACGCUGAGGAGCGAAAGCGUGGGGAGCAAACAGG